rnacentral:rRNA from 1 species
GGGGAAUUUUGGACAAUGGGCGCAAGCCUGAUCCAGCCAUGCCGCGUGCAGGAUGAAGGCCCUCGGGUUGUAAACUGCUUUUGUACGGAACGAAAAGCCUCUUUCUAAUAAAGAGGGGUGAUGACGGUACCGUAAGAAUAAGCACCGGCUAACUACGUGCCAGCAGCCGCGGUAAUACGUAGGGUGCGAGCGUUAAUCGGAAUUACUGGGCGUAAAGCGUGCGCAGGCGGUCUUGCAAGACAGUGGUGAAAUCCCCGGGCUCAGCCUGGGAACUGCCAUUGUGACUGCAAGGCUGGAGUACGGCAGAGGGGGAUGUAAUUCCGCGUGUAGCAGUGAAAUGCGUAGAUAUGCGGAGGAACACCGAUGGCGAAGGCAGUCCCCUGGGCCUGUACUGACGCUCAUGCACGAAAGCGUGGGGAGCAAACA